AACCAUAGAAACCUGCGGAGUACCUGCGGAAGGAUCAUUAACGAAUAACUAUGGUGUUGGUUGUAGCUGGCUCCUCGGAGCAAUGUGCACGCCCGCCAUUUUUAUCUUUCCACCUGUGCACCGACUGUAGGUCUGGAUACCUCUCGCCUCCGGGCGGAUGCGAGGGUUGCUCGUAAGGGCUUCCCUUGAACUUCCAGGCUCUACGUCUUUUUACACACCCCAAUAGUAUGAUGCAGAAUG
rnacentral:misc_RNA from 1 species